UUUUUGUGUGGGUAUAUCUAA
rnacentral:siRNA from 1 species